GGCUGUGGCCAUACUGGCUUGUGAAAGCCUGUUUUUGUCAGCCCUCUUUUGCUAAGAAAGGCUGAGCCUGGAUAGUACUUGGAUGGGAGACUGCUGGGAAUACCAGGUGCCACAGUGG
rnacentral:rRNA from 1 species